AUGGGCAAGAAGCAAAAGAAGCACAAGGCCAAGUGGCGCUCGUCCUAUGAGGAUUAUGCCAAGAAGCCCCUGAAGCUAGUCCUCAAGGUCGGAGGAAGUGAAGUGACUGAACUCUCAGGAUCUGGCCACAACUCCAGUUACUAUGAUGACAGGUCAGACCAUGAGCGAGAGAGGCACAAAGAAAAGAAAAAGAAGAAGUCCGAGAAAGAGAAGCAUCUGAACGAUGAGGAAAGAAGGAAGCAAAAAGGAAGAGAAGAAGCGGAAGCGAGAGAGGGAGCACUGUGACACGGAGGGAGAGGCUGACAACUUUGAUCCUGGGAAGAAGGUGGAGGUGGAGCCGCCCCCAGAUCGGCCAGUCCGAGCGUGCUGGACACAGCCAGCCGAAAAUGAGAGCACACCUAUUCAGCAACUCCUGGAACACUUCCUCCGCCAGCUCCAGAGAAAAGAUCCCCAUGGAUUUUUUGCUUUUCCUGUCACGGAUGCAAUUGCUUCUGGAUAUUCAAUGAUAAUAAAACAUCCCAUGGAUUUUGGCACCAUGAAAGACAAAAUUGUAGCUAAUGAAUACAAAUCAGUUACGGAAUUUAAGGCAGAUUUCAAACUGAUGUGUGAUAAUGCAAUGACAUACAAUAGGCCAGAUACCGUGUACUACAAGUUGGCGAAGAAGAUCCUUCACGCAGGCUUUAAGAUGAUGAGCAAACAGGCAGCUUUUUUGGGCAAUGAAAAUACAGCUGUUGAGGAACCUGUCCCUGAAGUUGUAUCAGUACAAGUAGAAACUGCCAAGAAAUCCAAAAAGCCGAGUAGAGAAGUUAUCAGCUACAUGUUCAAGCCUGAAGGGAACGCCUGCAGCUUGACGGACAAUACCGCAGAGGAGCACAUGCUGGCGCUGCCGGAGCACGCAGCUGACGAAGCUCGGGACAGGAUCAACCGGUUCCUCCCAGGCGGCAAGAUGGGCUAUCUGAAGAGGAAGGGGGACGGGAGUCUGCUCUACAGCGUGGUCAACACAGCCGAGCUGGACGCUGAUGAGGAGGAGACCCACCCAGUAGACUUGAGCUCGCUCUCCAGUAAGCUGCUCCCAGGCUUCACCACGCUGGGCUUCAAAGACGAGAGAAGAAACAAAGUCACCUUUCUCUCCAGUGCCACUACUGCGCUUUCGAUGCAGAAUAAUUCAGUAUUUGGCGUCUUGAAGUCGGAGGAGAUGGAGCUGCUCUAUUCAGCCUACACAGAUGAGACAGGCGUGCAGUGUGCGCUGAGCCUGCAGGAGUUUGUGAAGGAUGCUGGGAGCUACAGCAAGAAAGUGGUGGACGACCUCCUGGACCAGAUCACAGGCGGAGACCACUCCAAGAUGCUCUUCCAGCUGAAGCAGAGAAAUGUUCCCAUGAAACCUCCAGAUGAAGCCAAGGUUGGGGACACCCUAGGCGACAGCAGUGGCUCUGUUCUGGAGUUCAUGUCGAUGAAGUCGUAUCCCGACCUCUCCGUGGAUAUCUCCAUGCUCAGCUCUCUGGGGAAGGUGAAGAAGGAGCUGGACCCUGACGACAGCCAUUUGAACUUGGAUGAGAUGACCAAGCUCCUGCAGGACCUUCACAAAGCACAGGCGGAGCACGGCGGCUUUCGGCCGUCAUCCAACCUCAGCUCCCUGUCCAACGCCUCCGAGAGGGACCAGCACCACCCGGGAAGCCCUUCUCACCUGAGUGUCGGAGAGCAGCCAGACGUCACCCACGACCCCUAUGAGUUACUUCAGUCUCCAGAGCCUGCGGCCUCCACCAAGACCAAACUCUAGACCACCUUCAGCUCUUUUAUUUUUUUAGUUUUAUUUUGCACUUGUAGAGUUUUUGUCAUCAGACAAGGACUUUGAUCUUGCCCCCUCUGGCAUGCAGGAAGCAGCCCCGGUGAGGUAAUGAAUUGUCUGUGGUAUCAUGUCAGCAGAGUCUCCAAGCCCCGCGAACCCUGGGGAGUGGAGUCAUACGCGAAGGCCAUAUGGCC